rnacentral:rRNA from 1 species
UACGUAGGGGGCAAGCGUUGUCCGGAAUUAUUGGGCGUAAAGGGCGCGUAGGCGGAUAAUUAAGUCCGGUGUGAAAGAUCAGGGCUCAACCCUGAGAGUGCAUCGGAAACUGGUUAUCUUGAGGACAGGAGAGGAAAGUGGAAUUCCACGUGUAGCGGUGAAAUGCGUAGAUAUGUGGAGGAACACCAGUGGCGAAGGCGACUUUCUGGACUGUAACUGACGCUGAGGCGCGAAAGCGUGGGGAGCAAACAGG